UACGGAGGGUGCAAGCGUUAUCCGGAUUCACUGGGUUUAAAGGGUGCGUAGGUGGGUUUGUAAGUCAGUGGUGAAAUCUCCAAGCUUAACUUGGAAACUGCCGUUGAUACUAUAAAUCUUGAAUGUUGUGGAGGUGAGCGGAAUAUGUCAUGUAGCGGUGAAAUGCUUAGAUAUGACAUAGAACACCAAUUGCGAAGGCAGCUAACUACAGGGUUAUUGACACUGAGGCUCGAAAGCGUGGGGAUCAAACAGG
rnacentral:rRNA from 1 species